rnacentral:rRNA from 1 species
GUAACACGUGAGCAAUCUGCCCCUGACUCUGGGAUAACUCCGAGAAAUCGGUGCUAAUACCGGAUACGAACUGAGACCGCAUGGUCAUCAGUUGGAAAGAACUUCGGUCAGGGAUGAGCUCGCGGCCUAUCAGCUAGUUGGUGAGGUAAUGGCUCACCAAGGCGACGACGGGUAGCCGGCCUGAGAGGGUGACCGGCCACACUGGGACUGAGACACGGCCCAGACUCCUACGGGAGGCAGCAGUGGGGAAUAUUGCACAAUGGGCGCAAGCCUGAUGCAGCAACGCCGCGUGAGGGACGAAGGCCUUCGGGUUGUAAACCUCUUUUAGCAGGGAAGAAGCGAAAGUGACGGUACCUGCAGAAAAAGCACCGGCUAACUACGUGCCAGCAGCCGCGGUAAUACGUAGGGUGCAAGCGUUGUCCGGAAUUAUUGGGCGUAAAGAGCUCGUAGGCGGUUUGUCGCGUCUGCUGUGAAAAUCCGAGGCUCAACCUCGGACCUGCAGUGGGUACGGGCAAACUAGAGUGCGGUAGGGGAGAUUGGAAUUCCUGGUGUAGCGGUGGAAUGCGCAGAUAUCAGGAGGAACACCAAUGGCGAAGGCAGAUCUCUGGGCCGUAACUGACGCUGAGGAG